CUUUCUUUCCCAGGCUGGCGCUGAGAUGGGCAGGUGCUGCAGCAGCCCCGCUGGAAGCGAUGCAGCAUCCAGAACGACGGAGGAAGGGGCGGAGAGGGACCUCUGCUUUCCAGGCUGCCUUUUAUACUGCCUCUGGUCACCUGACAUGGAACGUACCCUAACCUAAUCAGUUACCUGUACCUUAAUUGCAAUUAACUUAAUCCAGUUACAUGACCUGGAAAGGUCUAUCUGCACAGCCCACUCUAAGAUCCUGUCCACUGCUGACAGACAUUCUAAAACCUACUUGUACAGCUGCAAGCUUUGAACAAUAGAUGUUCCCCGUCAGACAUGUAACACUGGUGCCUGUAUCCCUGUCUUCUUUUCCAUCUUUUUUGUUGUUUUGUUUUGUUUCGUUUUAAAAAAUGUGGUAAAAUAGACACCUUUUAAUUGGACCACAUUUUGUCUCUCUCGACGUAGGCCUCAAUGUCAUCAAGGAGACUCUCCUUGACAUGCAGUCACGGCCAUGAUCCAUCUUCAGAGCUUCUCUUUCUUCCCCAAGGUAAGUCUGUCAGCAGAGAACCCUGACCGCACCCUCAUGUGUUUUCUCCCCCAGGAGGCGCUUGGAAACCACCGUGAAUUGGACCGCACUGGGAAACACAGAUGAGGAAAGUCAACAACGCUUUGUCCUUCAGUGCCUGGCUCCUUUUUCAGCUCGUCUUGCGACUCCCGGACGCCUGUGAGGCUCUAAUUCCCUGGGUCCCAUUGCCAUGUCUCUGGAUUUGCGAAGAUCCACCGCACCUUCUGUGGAACUCCCGUGUCGGUGAACUUUUGUGCCACGGCCCCUAAUUCUGCCCAUGGUCAUCCGCACCUGCACGACUUAGGGUCCAUGUUCCUUGGACGGGAAGAGACAGGCAGGAGUCGGAAUGAUGAACCAGCACACUGGGGCGUUUUCUCAUGUAGCCCAAGUGACCCCAUGGUCUUCUCGAGCUUUGGAACCAGUCGCGUCCCCUUUGACACUGCACCCGGCUCCCAGUCUCUCAAUCUUGUUGGCCCUCCGGCGAUCUCCCGUUGGAUGAAUUGCUCCUGCUGAAACUCCAGUCCCCUUUGAUUUGCGCUUCAUUAAUUAUUCAUGAUUCAGGUUGGAAGGCCUGCUGACGACCCCCUGUGGCCGUUCUCUGAGCUUUCCUGUCACAUCGUUUCCUUCCACGCUCUUUGGUUCCUUAUGGUCCUGCUCCCUCUGUUGUCAGAGGAGCAGAGAGUUGAUCUUAUUCAUUCUGGAUACGGAUACUUUCUAGGUGAUCUGGAUAAUCAAGAUAACGACCCUCAACAGCGGCGGAGAGGGAGCAGCCAGUUGGUGUGUCUCAGAAAAUCCCACUGAGUUCCGAGGCCUCCUAGAUGUGGAAUCCUGCUGAGAGUUGUUCCCAGGUCAGAGAAUGGAGAGAGCCUGUGCAUGAUGGGAUAUCCCCGCCUAGAUCUUUCAGUGAGUCUCUACCUCAGCUACUCUUAGGAUCAGGGGGAGAACCAUGGUGUCAGACAUCCGGAAAGAAGACGGGAUGAAUGUUUUACCUCUGAAGUACAUCCCAAAUGUGGGAGUUAACUUCAGCUUUGCUGGGGUCUAUUUGGCCAGUGAAACUCUGCCUGGUUCCUUCGCACAUCCGGAAGCCACUUCACGGGGGGCCGUCGCAACUGGAACCACACACUUGGCAUCGGCGGUUGAGCCAAAUGGGGACUCGUGGUGCAAGCAACGCUCCCCACGUGUUAGCGUGCGUGAGAUGCGGUUGGCGGAAUUUUACUAGGUGCGUGUUGGUAGAGUGGGGCUGAGGUUUUCUUGCUCCUGUGGAUGUAUAGCAAGUCAAAGGUCCUGCCCAGCCCUGCGGUCCCCUCAGUCAACUCUGUUUCGGAGACGUAACGAUUUGGAUUGCCAACAAGUCAAGAAAUGUUCAAGCCCUUGGAUGUAGGGUAAAGAAAGAGAGAUCAGACUGUCACUGUGUCUAUGUAGAAGGGGAAGACAUAAGAGACUCCAUUUUGAAAAAGACCUGUAGUUUAAACAAUUGCUUUGCUGAGAUGUUGAUCAUUUGUAGCUUUGCCGCAGCCCCUUCCUUUGACCCAACUUGGAGCUCACAAAAACCUGUGUUGUAUAAAAUCGAGGUUUAAGGGAUCUAGGGCUGUGCAGGACGCGCCUUGUUAACCAAAUGUUUACGAGCAGUAUACUUGGUAGGAGUCAUUGCCAUUCCCUAGUCUCAAUAAACCAGGGGCGCAAUGCACCGUGGAAAGCCACAGGGACCUCUGCCCUUGAAAGCAGGGUAUUGUCCAAGGUUUCUCCCCAUGUGACAGUCUGAAAUAUGGCCUCGUGGGAUGGGAAAGACCUGACUGUCCCCCAGCCUGACACCCGCAAUGGGUCUGUGCUGAGGUGGAUUAGUCAAAGAGGAAAGCCUCUUGCAGUUCAGAUGGAGGAAGGCCACUGUCUCCUGCUUGCCCCUGGGAACUGAAUGUCUCGGUGUAAAGCCCGAUCGUACAUUUGUUCAACUCUGAGCUCGGAGAAAAGCUGCCCUGUGGCGGGAGGCGAGACAUGUUGGCAGUAAUGCUGCCUUGUUAUUCUUUACUCCGCUGAGAUAUUUGUGUGGAGAGAAACAUAAAUCUGGCCUACGUGCACGUCCAGGCAUAGUACCUUCCCUUGAACUUAAUAAUGAUAUGGAUUCUUUUGCUCACGUGUUUGUUUUUGUUGUUGCUGUUGAACUUCCCCUUAUUAUCACCCUGCUCCCCUACUGCAUUCCUUUGUGCUGUAAUAAUGAUAAUCAUAAUCAAUAAAAACUGAGGGAACUCAGAGGCCGGUGCCGGUGCAGGUCCUAGGUGUGCUGAGUGCCGGUCCCCUGGACCCACUGUUGUCUCCCUAUA